rnacentral:rRNA from 1 species
GAUUCCUAGGGACGCAGCAGUGAGGAAUAUUGGUCAAUGGGCGGGAGCCUGAACCAGCCAAGUCGCGUGAGGGAAGACGGUCCUAUGGAUUGUAAACCUCUUUAGGCGGGGAGCAAUGCCGGGCACGCGUGCCCGGAGGGAGAGUACCCGCAGAAUAAGCAUCGGCUAACUCCGUGCCAGCAGCCGCGGUAAUACGGAGGAUGCGAGCGUUAUCCGGAUUUAUUGGGUUUAAAGGGUGCGUAGGCGGGUUUUUAAGUCAGCGGUAAAAUGUCCGGGCGCAACCCGGGCCGGC